rnacentral:rRNA from 1 species
GGUGAGUCUCGGGAUUGCAGCAUUGGUCCUUUAUUGGAUCGUUGCCGUGAAAACCUGCUUAAACCUUAUCACUUAGAGGAAGGUGAAGUCGUAACAAGGUUUCCGUAGGUGAACCUGCGGAAGGAUCAUUACCACACGAUCUACUAGAUCAACCCUGUGAAGUAGGCUAGCCAAGUUCGAAAAGUUGACGUCCUUGAGCUAACCACGCUAAUAACUAUUACCCAGAGAUUGAUGUGUGGCUAUAUGUGUAACAAUGUAUAGUUAUGUGUCAAUUUCACAACCCAAUACCUUGACUUUUAAUCUAAAUCUGAGCGUAUACAGCUUCAGCGAGAGUAACAUCUUGAUUGAAAGCUUAACGCAUUUAAAGCAAAAUGUAAAUACGACUUUCAGCAAUGGAUGUCUUGGCUCCCACAACGAUGAAGAACGCAGCGAAAUGCGAUACGUAAUGCGAAUUGCAAGACUUCGUGAAUCAUCAAAAUUUUGAACGCACAUUGCGCUUCCGGUUUUUGCCGGAAGCAUGCUUUUUUGAGUGUCCGCGACUCCAUUUCAACUCAUCUGAUUGUUUCAUGAAGAUGACGUUGGUUAAUGCUGUUGGCAAGAGUGUAGUUUACUAUAUGCAUGCCUGCAGUGAAAGGUAGAUGUCGCGUGGUAGAACUUGUUGUUAUAUGACAGCAUGUCACAUUGAACUUAACCACGAUAGGUGAAUUAAACCUCUUUAUUGUGGAUGAAUGAUUUGUUGACUAUAGUGAAACCAGCUUGAGCGAUGGAUCUUGGUUAUGUGCUUGCCUGAGGUUAGCACAGCCGUACUAAAAGUGAUAUCAAUCUCGGAUCUCAAAUAAAGUAAGAGUACCCGCUGAAUUUAAGCAUAUAAUUAAGCGGAGGAAA